GGAGUUGUGGCUCAGCGGUAGAGCGCUCGCCUAAUGCGUGUGAGGCCCUGGGUUCAAUCCUCAGCACCA
rnacentral:tRNA from 1 species